rnacentral:lncRNA from 1 species
UACAAAAAGAGUGUUUCAAAACUGCUCUAUCAAAAGGAAUGUUCACCUCUAUGAGUUGAAUGCAAACAUCACAGAGAAGUUUCUGAGAAUGCUUCUGUGAAUUCUUUAUGUGAAGUUAUUUCCUUUUCACCAUAGGCCUCAAAGCGAACAAAAUGUCCCCUUGCAGAUUAUGCAAAAAGAGAGUUUCAGAACUGCUCUAUCAAAA